CGUAGGGUGCGAGCGUUGUCCGGAAUUAUUGGGCGUAAAGAGCUUGUAGGCGGUUUGUCGCGUCUGCCGUGAAAAUCCGGGGCUCAACUCCGGACUUGCGGUGGGUACGGGCAGACUAGAGUGUGGUAGGGGAGACUGGAAUUCCUGGUGUAGCGGUGAAAUGCGCAGAUAUCAGGAGGAACACCGAUGGCGAAGGCAGGUCUCUGGGCCACUACUGACGCUGAGAAGCGAAAGCGUGGGGAGCGAACAGGAUU
rnacentral:rRNA from 1 species